rnacentral:rRNA from 1 species
UGAAUACGAGAUGCUACGGCGUCGAAGCAGUCUAUGUCAUACUUCCAAGAAAAGCUCGCACUGUCAUAAACAAAUAAUGCCUGUACCAUAACCGACACAGGUGGGUAGGUAGAGUAUACUAAGGGGCGCGAGAUAACUCUCUCUAAGGAACUCGGCAAAAUGACUCCGUAACUUCGGGAGAAGGAGUGCCUUAUUUAUAAGGUUGCAAUAACAAGAUCCAAGCAACUGUUUAUCAAAAACACAGGUCUCCGCUAAGUCGUAAGACGAUGUAUGGGGGCUGACGCCUGCCCAGUGCCAGAAGGUUAAGGAAGUUGGUUAGUUUCGACGAAGCUAGCGACCGAAGCCCCGGUGAACGGCGGCCGUAACAAUAACGGUCCUAAGGUAGCGAAAUUCCUUGUCGGGUAAGUUCCGACCCGCACGAAAGGCGUAAUGAUUUGGAUACUGUCUCGGAGAGGGGCUCGGUGAAAUAGACUUGUCUGUGAAGAUGCGGACUACCUGCACCAGGACAGAAAGACCCUAUGAAGCUUUACUGUAACUUGAGAUUGAAAUUGGACUUUACUUGCGCAGUAUAGGUGGGAGGCGUUGAUAAUAUUCUUGCGGGAUUAUUUGAGCCAUCAGUGAGAUACCACUCUUGUAAUGAUAGAUUUCUAACUUUGUAUCAUUAUCUGGUCAAAGGACAGUUUCAGGCGGGCAGUUUGACUGGGGCGGUCGCCUCCUAAACGGUAACGGAGGCGCACAAAGGUUUCCUCUGAACGGGUAGAAAUCGUAUCUAGAGUGUAAAGGCAUAAGGAAGCUCGACUGUGAGACCUACAAGUCGAGCAGGGACGAAAGUCGGUCUUAGUGAUCUGACGGUGCUGAGUGGAAAGGCCGUCACUCAACGGAUAAAAGUUACUCUAAGGAUAACAGGCUGAUCUCCCCCAAGAGUUCACAUCGACGGGGAGGUUUGGCACCUGGAUGUCGGCUCAUCGCAUCCUGGGGCGGUAGUACGUCCCAAGGGUUGGGCUGUUCGCCCAUGAAAGCGGUACGCGAGCUGGGUUCAGAACGUCGUGAGACAGUUCGGUCCAUAUCCGGUGUAGGCGUUAGAGUAUUGAGAGGAGCCUUCUUUAGUACGAGAGGACCGAGAAGGACAUACCUCUGGUGUACCAGUUAUCGUGCCAACGGUAAACGCUGGGUAGCUAUGUAUGGAGUGGAUAACCGCUGAAAGCAUCUAAGUGGGAAGCCCACCUCAAGAUAAGUAUUCUCGU